rnacentral:misc_RNA from 1 species
GUGGUAAUAAGGUUAGAUCUUUAUUCUCCAUGUUGUUUUGUGUUAGUUAUUGAAGUUAAUUGAUAUAUGGAUAAAAAUCAUGGAUUCAAUCUCUUUAUUUGAUGUAGUUAUGCUUAUUAGUUAGCAUUUCAUGGAUUCAAGUCCUUGAACAUCUUUUCUUUCAGUGCAUUUUGCAAUUUUUACAAUAAGUUUUGUGUAGAGAUAGGCAGUGACCAUUUUGUUAUGACUGAAAUGGCCCUGCUUUCAUUACACUAUCAUGAUUGAGGAGGUGGCAUAAUUUAAAUAUAUGGUAAUGAUUGUAAAAUCAAUUCGCAUGAAAAGAGAAUAGAGGAGAGGGCCGGUGUGGGUGUGGGUAUGGGGGAGGAGGAAAUAAGAAGUACCUUUUGAACUUAUAUCUGCAAAGCAAGGCAACAAAGUAGCUUCAAUAUGAUGACCUUCAUAUAACAGCUGUUAUAUAAUGUAAUAAC